rnacentral:tRNA from 1 species
AACGAGACAUCCUUAGAGUCACUCUUACCGUCGUGCAUACUUUAAUGGGGUCUGCCGCCUUCGUUUCUCUUUCUUCGCGAAUGACUAAACUCCCUUUGGCUCUGCGCACAAGGCGUGCCUUGCCGGUACAAAUGGUGCCAACAGGGUUUUGUUUAUGGCUUGUAGCUCAGUUGGUUAGAGCGCGCGCUUGAUAAGCGUGAGGUCGGAGGUUCAAGUCCUCCCAGGCCCACCAAUUCCUCGAGGAAAGGUAUCGGGGGCCGUAGCUCAGCUGGGAGAGCGCCUGCUUUGCAAGCAGGAUGUCUUCGGUUCGAUCCCGUCCGGCUCCACCAUCUUUCUUCCCUAGGGAGGAGAGGGUGUCGAGUGGAUGUGAAACCGGUUGCAAGGUCAUUCGUUAUAAAGUUUGCGGCGAGCCUCUGGCUCUCCGCCUGUUCUGUAUGACAUCGUAAAGAGAAGAUUUGUUCGAACUUCAUGUCCCAAAAGGAUGUGAUUUGUCGCGGGAGACGCUCAAUCUCCCGCAUAUGAUGGGUUUGCCUAACCGCACCCUCGAACCGAUCUCGAGAAGCUGGUCUUUUUGUG